CCGAGCCUGAUUUACUGGUAUCAAGAUAACAGGUUUGGUAAGUGCAGCCAAUCUCAAUAUCAGAGGCCAAAAAUAUGUCUUGUUUAUGUUUUUAACGGGCUUUCAAAAAUUCCCCAGAGCCCGUGUACUUUAAACAAAAGCAUAGCACUUUCAGAAUAAUGAUACUGAUGCUUGCAAUUUUUUAAGAACUAUUGUCGAGUUAAGUCAGAAAGAUAUUUCCUAAUAUUUGCUGAUGAUUCCUGAUAAAACCACUUUGGUUUCAAUAAAAAUAAAUGAGAGGAUAGGUAGUUCGUGACGCAAUCGCAUGCAACCCCUGAGCCGUUUUAAUUUAAGAUUCUUGUGAAAAAACCAGUGUAUGAAUAAGAACCCAAAGCACACCUGUCGAGACGGCAAGGUUUUAUUUAAGUUUUUGAGUUUGAGGAUUAAAAUAUUGUUAUCCAAAGAAUAGGCUAUUUUUUAUCAUCAACCAGCCGGAAACAACAGUGAUUGCACUCAACGAUAAGCACUCCUUGGUCAGCUAAAAUUAACCAAUUCCUUUGGUCUUGAUGCAUUUUAUUCUUGGGGGUAGCGUUUACAUGUUGAUUUUAUUUACUAUUUGGUUUAAACAGAAUGUUUGUCAUUCCAAAUUCACUAAUUCGAUCAAUUUAUUAUGGGGUUCGAACUUAACGAUGCAUUGGAGCGAUACAUUAAUUACAAGAUUUAGCGAAUAAUCAACAAUAGGUGCAAAAGGGAUUUACUGCAUAACCCUUCCCGCAUUACAUUACAAGGACCUGGGCAAUUUAGCGAUGCAAUUAUCAACUCUCUAACAAUAUUUACUUGUGAGAUUUCGCUGCCUUAGUAUUCGAGUAUCACCGGAACUACCACCCAAGGACUUUUUUCCCCGCGAAAGGAGUUUGAUUGAUUGACAAGGUCGUCAGUUCAACUUUGACAAUAAUAAUUUACUCUUGGUGAUUCAUAGGAAGAAAGCAAGGGGUGACAUAGGUCAUUUAAGUGAUAUUCACAAGCUACUAAACAUGCAAGUUAGGGAAAUUGUGCUAGACGCAAGAUGCAUGAAGGCAUCCAGAAUUUGAGAGUUUGAAAAUUUAUCAAGUACUAUUGCGCAAUAACUAAGGGUCAACCUUUUGAUUGUUAGCGCGUAAUGUGAGACCUGUUAGAGAAACCAGCCACGCCGAGAGAGGAAGGAGCUACUACCCACAGGAAAUGCAGUCAGAGCGCUGCAAGAACAUUUGGUCAAGUGAAAGUUGGUUAACUUAAUUUUUAAAAGCUUGUAACAAUUUAUAAAUACUUAAAUCGCACAUUUGCUGACCGCAAACAAAUAAAAUCACAAUGGAA